ACGGUCCAGCUCCUAAGUGAGGCAGCAGUGGGGAAUAUUGCACAAUGGGCGCAAGCCUGAUGCAGCCAUGCCGCGUGUAUGAAGAAGGCUUUAGGGUUGUAAGUACUUUCAGCGGGGAGGAAGGCGUUGAGGUUAAUAACCUCAGCGAUAGACGUUACCCGCAGAAGGAGCACCGGCUAACUCCGUGCCAGCAGCCGCGGUAAUACGGAGGGUACAAGCGGUAAUCGGAAUGUCUGGGGGUAAAGCGCACGCAGGCGGUCUCUCAAGUUGGAUGUGAAAUCCCCGGGCUCACCCUGGGAAAUGCAUUCGAAACUGGCAGGCUAGAGUCUUGUAGAGGGGGGGGGAAUUCCAGGUGUACCGGUGAAAUGCGUAGAGAUCUGGAGGUAUACCGGUGGCGAAGGCGGCCCCCUGGACAAAGACUGACGCUCAGGUGCGAAAGCGUGGGGAGCAAACAGG
rnacentral:rRNA from 1 species